UCGAUACGGGCAGGCUAGAGUUCGGCAGGGGAGACUGGAAUUCCUGGUGUAGCGGUGAAAUGCGCAGAUAUCAGGAGGAACACCGGUGGCGUAGGCGGGUCUCUGGGCCGAUACUGACGCUGAGGAGCGAAAGCGUGGGGAGCGAACAGGAUUAGAUACCCUGGUAGUCCACGCCGUAAACGUUGGGCGCUAGGUGUGGGAUCCCUUCCACGGGUUCCGUGCCGCAGCUAACGCAUUAAGCGCCCCGCCUGGGGAGUACGGCCGCAAGGCUAAAACUCAAAGGAAUUGACGGGGGCCCGCACAAGCGGCGGAGCAUGUGGAUUAAUUCGAUGCAACGCGAAGAACCUUACCUGGGUUUGACAUACACCGGAAAGUCGUGGAGACACGGCCUCCGCAAGGCCGGUGUACAGGUGGUGCAUGGCUGUCGUCAGCUCGUGUCGUGUGAUGUUGGGUUAAGUCCCGCAACGAGCGCAACCCUUGUCCCAUGUUGCCAGCGGGUUAUGCCGGGGACUCAUGGGAGACUGCCGGGGUCAACUCGGAGGAAGGUGGGGACGACGUCAAGUCAUCAUGCCCCUUAUGUCCAGGGCUUCACACAUGCUACAAUGGCCGGUACAGAGGGCUGCUAAACCGUGAGGUGGAGCGAAUCCCAUAAAGCCGGUCUCAGUUCGGAUCGGGGUCUGCAACUCGACCCCGUGAAGUCGGAGUCGCUAGUAAUCGCAGAUCAG
rnacentral:rRNA from 1 species